CAGAAGUUUUACCGCCCACAUGGC
rnacentral:siRNA from 1 species